UUACUCUGGCUUCCCUUCAGAACGCAUAAAUCUUUCGCCUUUUACUAAAGAUUUCCGUGGAGGGGAGCAACUCAAUGAGUCUUUAAAAAUUUGUUUGAGGCUUGCAUCAGCAAGCCA